UACGGAGGGUGCAAGCGUUACUCGGAAUUACUGGGCGUAAAGCGCAUGUAGGCGGUUGAUUAAGUCUGUUGUGAAAUCCCGAAGCUCAACUUCGGAAGUGCAGUGGAUACUGGUCAACUAGAAUUCAGGAGAGGAGAGUGGAAUUCCUGGUGUAGAGGUGAAAUUCGUAGAUAUCAGGAGGAACACCAGUGGCGAAGGCGGCUCUCUGGACUGACAUUGACGCUGAGAUGCGAAAGCGUGGGUAGCAAAC
rnacentral:rRNA from 1 species